rnacentral:miRNA from 1 species
UCUAUAUAUGUGUGUGUGUGUGUGUGUGUGUGUGUGGGUACACUGCACACAGACCUCUUUUUGCAAACGGCACAUUU